AUUUAUUGACCUCACUAGGUGCCAGGCACUGAGCUGUGUGCCAGAGCCCACUGCACAGAGCGCUUUCUCUCCUGAUGUUCAAACCUCCUAGCCAUGGACCCUAAAGGCGUGUUUGCUGCAGUUUGAAGCAUGAAGCCCACAAAGCAGGACACUGGGAUGCUGCCCCUAUUUCAUAAGGAAAUGUGUUUUGUGAAAGUGGAAUCAGAGGCAGCUUUUAAAAUACAUCAGGAAUUCUGCUACCAGGAAGAUGGAAUACAUGUACUUUCCCCUUUUUCUCCCACAAAGUACAACUAAAAACCUUGGACAUUAUGUAAAAAAGAAACAUAAGAAGACUCUGAGAAGUGGAGAGGAGACACAAUGACUAGCAAUAUGGGGACCGAAGGAGCAGCACGGUGACAAGCUGCCUGGGAUUUUUUUUUUUUCAUCACAUAUCCCAGACUUGGACAUGAAGAAGCCAGUGACCCAGAAAUGCUAAGGGAUAUAGAUGCCCCCCCCC